UACGGAGGGAGCUAGCGUUGUUCGGAAUUACUGGGCGUAAAGCGCGCGUAGGCGGCUUACCAAGUCGGGGGUGAAAUCCCGGGGCUCAACCCCGGAAUGGCCUUCGAGACUGGUGGUCUUGAGUUCGAGAGAGGUGAGUGGAAUUCCGAGUGUAGAGGUGAAAUUCGUAGAUAUUCGGAGGAACACCAGUGGCGAAGGCGGCUCACUGGCUCGACACUGACGCUGAGGUGCGAAAGCGUGGGGAGCAAACAGG
rnacentral:rRNA from 1 species